GGAGAGGUGCGAGAGUGGCCGAUUCGGCGUGAUUGGAAAUCACGUGUGCCGGCAACGGUACCGAGGGUUCGAAUCCCUCCCUCUCCGCCA
rnacentral:tRNA from 1 species